rnacentral:rRNA from 1 species
UUCCAGACUCCUACGGGAGGCAGCAGUGGGGAAUAUUGCGCAAUGGGCGAAAGCCUGACGCAGCGACGCCGCGUGAGGGAUGGAGGUCUUCGGAUCGUAAACCUCUGUCAGCGGGGAAGAACGGUCACUGUGCUAAUCAGCAGUGAAUUGACGGUACCUGCAAAGGAAGCACCGGCUAACUCCGUGCCAGCAGCCGCGGUAAUACGUAGGUGGCAAGCGUUGUCCGGAUUUACUGGGUGUAAAGGGCGUGUAGCCGGGCUUACAAGUCAGAUGUGAAAUCCGGGGGCUCAACCCCCGAACUGCAUUUGAAACUGUAGGUCUCGAGUAUCGGAGAGGCAGGCGGAAUUCCUAGUGUAGCGGUGAAAUGCGUAGAUAUUAGGAGGAACACCAGUGGCGAAGGCGGCCUGCUGGACGACAACUGACGGUGAGGCGCGAAAGCGUGGGGAGCAAACAGGAUUAGAUACCCCAGUAAC